rnacentral:rRNA from 1 species
AUUGAACGCUGGCGGCAGGCCUAACACAUGCAAGUCGAGCGGAUGAAGGGAGCUUGCUCCUGGAUUCAGCGGCGGACGGGUGAGUAAUGCCUAGGAAUCUGCCUGGUAGUGGGGGCUAACGUCCGGACACGGGCGCUAAUACCGCAUCCGUCCUGAGGGUGAAAGUGGGGGAUCUUCGGACCUCACGCUAUCAGAUGUGCCUAGGUCGGAUUAGCUAGUUGGUGGGGUAAAGGCCUACCAAGGCGACGAUCCGUAACUGGUCUGAGAGGAUGAUCAGUCACACUGGAACUGAGACACGGUCCAGACUCCUACGGGAGGCAGCAGUGGGGAAUAUUGGACAAAGGGCGAAAGCCUGAUCCAGCCAUGCCGCGUGUGUGAAGAAGGUCUUCGGAUUGUAAAGCACUUUAAGUUGGGAGGAAGGGCAGUAAGUUAAUACCUUGCUGUUUUGACGUUACCAACAGAAUAAGCACCGGCUAACUUCGUG